GGAAAUAUUCUGACGAUGAAUCAUAGACAGUUCUAUUUAUCCACAGAUUACCAUUAACCAUUAACGAAAGAACUUUUAGUUUCUUUCGAGUUCUGGUUGCAAUAAAUAUAUACCUUUGGUCACUCCAAAGCUUUCUAUGUUUAUUUUUGCGAUGCCUCUGCUUUUCGCUUGGGCCUUUGGUCUCACUAAAAUCUGGCUCUUUGUUCAAUCAUUGGACUCGACUCGCUUACAAUACUGUUUUGGUUCUUAUAUUUUUAUUUUUAUUUUAGUCUGUGGGCUGUUCUUUGCCCAUGGCCAAGAACUACACACAGAUAGCCACAGUACAGCCACAAUGGCAAAAAAGAAGAAGAUAAAAUCGAAGAAAUAACCGAAUGAACGAACGGAGGGAUACAAAGAAUUAUAUAACUAUAGCAAAGUACAAGCUACUAAGAUCCGAACACACACACAGAGCAAAAUAUCCAACAGUCUUGGCCAACAGCAAAAGUACAAGUUGCCAAAGAAGAAGCGAAAAGAGCGUAGAGCAUAGACAAAGAUCAUCAUCAUCAUCAUUAUCAUAGGAGGAACCCCAGGUUCAGUUUCGAAUGGAAAGGAAAGGAAUGGGAUAGUAAAGGAAAGGAACGGAAUGGAACGGAACGGUACGGGGAAGUGGGGGAUACUGAUGGGUGGUGUGGUGUGGUGUGUGUUCGUCUGCCAUUUGGCCUAAGCAAAGUCAAGGCAACAGGCCAUAAAACUUGUAGAACCAGUAAAAAAAAAGAAAAGAGAAAAGAAAACCAAAGACGAAGCAGAAAAGAAGAACACGACCAAGAGCCAAGAACCAAGAACGCCAAGAGAAGCUGAAUGUUGAAGGGCCUUGGAGGAUGAAAUACACAGCCUGGGCACAAGGGGGAACGACAACUGAGAGCAGAGAGCAGAGAACCGAGAACAGAACAGAAAACAGAGAGAACCGCAACCAAGAAGCAUGUACAGUGAAAGCUCUUUGGGGGUCCAACACCCCCGCUGAUGAUGGAACUAUGAAUGUGUUUUCCCCCGAGGACAGAGGCCUCCUGCUCCUGCUUCUGCCCCUGACUCUACCACCGUGAACUAACCCAGCUGUCUGCUAUGUUUAUUUCUGGGCAAACUUCCUGUCGAUCCAUCGAUCCCAUUUCUCUGUCUCAGUGGCCGCAAGUAAAAGUCAAUAAAUAACUGAAAGGCAAAAAGGAAAUUCAUUGAUGAGCCAUCAUCGAUAAAGAUACUAAAACUAAAAAGAAAGAAAAGGCCAACAAAAACCAGGAGCACAUUCAUUGUUCCAUGCAAAUUCUGCAGCUGUUAGAACAAAGCCAGCGCGGAUCGCACAGAGAGGAUCGCA